GGGGGAAUUUUCCGCAAUGGGCGAAAGCCUGACGGAGCAACGCCGCGUGAGGGAGGAAUGCCUGUGGGUUGUAAACCUCUUUUCUCAGGGAAGAAGAUCUGACGGUACCUGAGGAAUCAGCAUCGGCUAACUCCGUGCCAGCAGCCGCGGUAAUACGGAGGAUGCAAGCGUUAUCCGGAUUUAUUGGGCGUAAAGCGUCCGUAGGUGGCUUUAUAAGUCUGCUGUCAAAGCCCACAGCUUAACUGUGGAUCGGCAGUGGAAACUAUAGAGCUUGAGUGCGGUAGGGGCAGAGGGAAUUCCCAGUGUAGCGGUGAAAUGCGUAGAUAUUGGGAAGAACACCGGUGGCGAAAGCGCUCUGCUAGGCCGCAACUACACUAGGACAAG
rnacentral:rRNA from 1 species